rnacentral:rRNA from 1 species
AUACCCGCUGAACUUAAGCAUAUCAAUAAGCGGAGGAAAAGAAACCAACAGGGAUUGCCCUAGUAACGGCGAGUGAAGCGGCAACAGCUCAAAUUUGAAAUCUGGCUCUCGGGCCCGAGUUGUAAUUUGUAGAGGAUGCUUUUGAUGCGGUGCCUUCCGAGUUCCCUGGAACGGGACGCCAUAGAGGGUGAGAGCCCCGUCUGGUUGGAUGCCAAAUCUCUGUAAAGCUCCUUCGACGAGUCGAGUAGUUUGGGAAUGCUGCUCUAAAUGGGAGGUAUAUGUCUUCUAAAGCUAAAUACCGGCCAGAGACCGAUAGCGCACAAGUAGAGUGAUCGAAAGAUGAAAAGCACUUUGAAAAGAGAGUUAAAAAGUACGUGAAAUUGUUGAAAGGGAAGCGUUUAUGACCAGACUUGGGCUUGGUUAAUCAUCUGGGGUUCUCCCCAGUGCACUUUUCCAGUCCAGGCCAGCAUCAGUUUUCGCCGGGGGAUAAAGGCUUCGGGAAUGUGGCUCUCUCCGGGGAGUGUUAUAGCCCGUUGCGUAAUACCCUGGCGGGGACUGAGGUUCGCGCAUCUGCAAGGAUGCUGGCGUAAUGGUCAUCAACGACCCGUCUUGAAACACGGACCAAGGAGUCGUCUUCGUAUGCGAGUGUUCGGGUGUCAAACCCCUACGCGUAAUGAAAGUGAACGCAGGUGAGAGCUUCGGCGCAUCAUCGACCGAUCCUGAUGUUCUCGGAUGGAUUUGAGUAAGAGCAUACGGGGCCGGACCCGAAAGAAGGUGAACUAUGCCUGUGUAGGGUGAAGCCAGAGGAAACUCUGGUGGAGGCUCGCAGCGGUUCUGACGUGCAAAUCGAUCGUCAAACAUGGGCAUGGGGGCGAAAGACUAAUCGAACCUUCUAGUAGCUGGUUUCCGCCGAAGUUUCCCUCAGGA